CGUGGACUUGCUCCUGAAAUCAGCGGCGGANGGGUGAGUACACGUGGGUACCUGCCUGUAAGACUGGGAUAACUCCGGGAAACCGGGGCUAAUACCGGAUAACACCUACCCCCGCAUGGGGGAAGGUUGAAAGGUGGCUUCGGCUAUCACUUACAGAUGGACCCGCGGCGCAUUAGCUAGUUGGUGAGGUAAUGGCUCACCAAGGCGACGAUGCGUAGCCGACCUGAGAGGGUGAUCGGCCACACUGGGAACUGAGACACGGCCCAGACUCCUACGGGAGGCAGCAGUAGGGAAUCUUCCGCAAUGGACGAAAGUCUGACGGAGCAACGCCGCGUGAGUGAAGAAGGUUUUCGGAUCGUAAAACUCUGUUGUUAGGGAAGAACAAGUGCCGUUCGAAUAGGGCGGCGCCUUGACGGUACCUAACCAGAAAGCCACGGCUA
rnacentral:rRNA from 2 species